AAUAAGUACAGUUUUGCACUAUUCACGUUUAAUGUUUGACUGUUCGUCUUAUUUGAAAAUUUUUUAUGAUUAGUAUUUUUAUUGCUAUUAGAUGAUAAAACAUGAAUAGUACUCUAUGUGUGACUAAAUAUCUUUAAAUUUGGUCAAACGUUGUGCACGGAUAUUCAUGGCUGCACUUAUU
rnacentral:pre_miRNA from 1 species